UACGUAGGGGGCAAGCGUUGUCCGGAUUCAUUGGGCGUAAAGAGCGUGUAGGCGGCCAGAUAGGUCAGCUGUGAAAACUCGGGGCUCAACCCUGAGACGUCGGUUGAAACCAUCUGGCUAGAGUCCGGAAGAGGAGUGUGGAAUUCCCGGUGUAGCGGUGAAAUGUGUUGAGAUCGGGAGGAACGCCGGUGGCGAAAGCGACAGACUGGGGCUUGGCCGACGCUCAGGCACGAAAGCCAGGGGAGCGAACGGG
rnacentral:rRNA from 1 species